AGGCUGCAUCGGUCUUUCGCUCUGCACAACAAAGAGCAAACCGCCUGUGUAUUAACAUGGACUUCAGGAUGAAACUUUUCCAUGAACGUCCUCCGGUUUGCUUGUUGCCCAGAAAAGCUGAAAAGACUCGCGCAGCCCAGCCAGGAGACGCCAAAAUGUCGUGGAAAUUAGACAACACUCGCAGACUCAUCCUCUGUAAAGGGGGUGAGCUGUGCACCGUGGCUGUCCGGUCUGGAGCAGGGAGCGAGCCGCCAUCACCCGUCACACUGCCACCUCUCAGGAACUCGCUCAGCAACUCGCUCACGGUUGGAGGCAAUAAGAACACGAUGAAUGACCAUCUGCAUGUCGGAAACCACCAGCAGAUCCACGUUCAACAGCUGUUUGAGGAAAACAGCAAUAAAAGGACAGUGUUGACGACACAGCCGAAUGGGUUGACGCCAGUAGGCCGAGCAGGCUUGUCCUUGCCAGAGAGGCAACAAGAAAGCAGCCAGUGUAGGGCGGGCAGUUCCGCCUCCACCAAAGCGACUGAAAGCAAGCCCAAGAUAGCCCCUAUUACUCCUGAGCAGGCCAUGAAGCAGUACACGUCCAAACUGACAGCAUUCGAACACCAGGAGAUUUUCAACUGCUCUGAAAUAUACUUUGUAGGACCAAAUGCUAAGAAACGGCCAGGUGUGGUCGGGGGCUCAAAUAAUGGUGGUUACGAUGAUGAUCAGGGCUCUUAUAUCCAUGUACCCCAUGACCAUAUAGCCUACAGGUAUGAGGUAUUGAAGGUCAUUGGUAAGGGAAGUUUUGGACAAGUAGUGAAGGCCUACGACCACAAGGCUCACCAGCAUGUGGCCUUGAAAAUGGUGCGCAACGAGAAGCGGUUUCAUCGCCAGGCAGCCGAGGAGAUUCGGAUCCUGGAGCACUUGCGCAAGCAGGACAAAGACUCUGCUAUGAAUGUCAUCCACAUGCUGGAGCACUUCACAUUCCGCAACCACAUCUGCAUGACAUUUGAGUUACUCAGCAUGAACCUGUAUGAGCUCAUAAAGAAAAACAAGUUUCAGGGCUUCAGUCUGCCACUGGUGCGCAAGUUUGCGCACUCUAUCCUGCAGUGUCUGGACUCCUUGCACAAAAACAGGAUCAUUCAUUGUGACCUCAAACCCGAGAACAUCCUCUUGAAGCAGCAGGGACGCAGCGGGAUAAAAGUGAUCGACUUUGGAUCCAGCUGCUUUGAACACCAGCGGGUCUAUACUUACAUUCAGUCACGCUUUUAUAGGGCACCAGAAGUCAUUCUGGGCUCUCGGUAUGGGAUGCCAAUUGAUAUGUGGAGCCUGGGUUGUAUUUUAGCGGAAUUACUAACAGGGUACCCUCUCUUGCCUGGAGAAGAUGAAGGGGACCAACUAGCAUGUGUCAUAGAGCUACUGGGCAUGCCCUCCCAGAAGCUGUUGGAUUCGUCCAAAAGAGCCAAAAAUUUUGUCAGCUCAAAGGGAUAUCCUCGUUACUGCACGGUCACAACUUUACCUGAUGGCACGGUAGCACUAAACGGUGGACGGUCACGUAGGGGUAAGCUUCGAGGUCCGCCAGGAAGCAAGGAUUGGGUAACUGCGCUUAAGGGCUGUGACGACCCCCUCUUUUUGGACUUCCUCAAGCAGUGUCUGGAGUGGGACCCGGCUUUGCGUAUGACUCCAAGUCAGGCCCUCCGCCACCCGUGGCUGAGAAGACGCUUGCCAAAACCUCCCACUGGGGAGAAAACUACCGUAAAGCGAAUCACUGAGGGCACAGGUGCUAUAACCUCUAUCUCCAAAUUACCUCCCACAUCGAGUUCAGCCUCAAAAUUAAGGACUAACCUGGCACAAAUGACUGACGCCAAUGGGAAUAUACAGCAGAGGACAGUGUUGCCAAAAUUAGUCAGUUGAAUACUAAUUUUUUUGUUUGGUUCUUUGUUUUGUUUCUAUAAAUGUUGUUAUUUAAAUAUGUGGAAAGGCGAGCAUCCACAAGUGUGAAAGGUUUUUUAGGAAUAUAGUCUUUAAAUCAUCAUUUAUUUACAGCUUUGUAGCACCUUUUUUGUUCAAAACACUUUUUUGUUUUACUUUCUUUUUUUCUUUCUUUUUUUCUUUUUUUAUUUUUAGAAAUACUAAAAUGGCCAAGAAAGAGGGAACAGUGCUUUUAAGUUUUUAUUUCAGGACUGUACUGUGUGGAAUGCUGCAGAGAGCAUUCAUGCAAUCUGGCCUAUUACUAAUGAAGUCCUAAUUAGUUUCCUCACUUAUAUCUUGUAGCAUAGAGUAAAGACUCUCAGCAAUGAAGUUCAUUUGGAUUUUUUUAUAUGUGUUCUCGCUAGGGUUUAGCUCGCUACCUCUGUAAUCUGUUGGAACAACACUGCGUCGAUGAAGGAGAAUUUUACAUGCGUUUCUAAAGCGCUACGCUAUCUGCAGUCACGUAGCGUUUGAAGCUCUUUAUAUUCAUGUUCGUUUGUGAAUGAGAAGGUAGGACAAGAUAUAGAAGACAUUUGAAGAGCAUCGUGAAAGCAAAGUGAAUGUUUUGGACUGCUUUGAGGCAGAAGGGAGAAAAAAAACAAUGUUUACAUGACAGACUUGGUAUGUGCCUAAAAUCUCUUGACAUUCCUUAUAAAAUGAACUCAAGGAAAAGAGAGACUUCAGGGUAGUGUAACCUUAUAAAUAGACUUCUGGCAAGUUAAAAGGAAUUUAUUUAGUUUGACUGAGUGGACUCUGUUCUCGGCAGUACUCGACAGGCUCGUGUAUUUAACUAUAAGCUAUUCUCCGGAAGAACUGCUGGGAACAAAAUGUCGUACUGUCUAGUGGGGAAAACUUUGGUGCUUUUACCUUUUUAUACAAAAGGUUGUUUUUUUAAAAAAAAAAUCAUUUUAAACCUAUGCUCAUGGAACAAAAUAAUGUUUUGAAGCUAAUCGUAGUUAACAAAUAGGAAGCAAUAGGAAGCUUUUAAAAUCGCUAAUUCUCCCUUCUAAGGACUGCUGCUUUUGCAGGGAUUUUAUAAAGGAUCGUGCUAAUCAUUUAUCGACAGGACUACUUGAAACUGAGCCAGUAUUAACACUAUCAUUGAAAAACUACAGCAGAGAGGGGAACUUUAAACGAGAGGCUCGUCUCAUCCGGCUGUCGUUUGUAAUCAGAGAUCACCCUCUGAAAUUCAUAUCGCGUUUUCUAUGUUUAGUUUUUAGUGUGGUCUCGCUAGUAUGUGGCCAGAGUUUAAACUCUUAAAAGCUUGUUCCCUUCUUUCAAUGAAGUUGCAUGGUUUUACCUAAACACACACACACACACACACACACACACAUACAAAAUAGUGGAAAAUAAUUUCACAAACUGGCCAUUUUUUGUAGCAAUUUUGAUGUAGUAAGAAAAGAAAAUAACUGACAAGGGUCUGAAAGCUUUGUAAAAGUUUAAUUUAUUUAUUUCUUAUUAUUGGUUGAUUUUUAAUUUUAUUUUUUUUUAAAGAAGAGCUAAUAUAAAAAGAAACAGUGGCCAGAAUGUGUGUUUUUUUGGCUUGUUAUCAGUGGAGUGACUUACAAUGUAAUACUUUUGAGACUCCACUCGCAGGAAAACGCUCUCGACCGGAUGCGAAUGUGGCGCUGGUGAAAAAGGGGCCGGACCAAGGGCCGUUAAAAGCAAAGCUGCGGCAUUUAUGUGGGUUUUAAUACCCCUGCUACUGGUUGGCAUGAUACCCAGCCUGCUGCACACUGCCCAGUCCCCUCUGGACGCCUACAGUACAUUUGCGAAUGCACAAUAAUCUGCCAACACCAGCAGGCAGUUCACAUUGUACUUUAUAUCUUUUUGCUGUUUUGUGGAUUAACAGUGGUGGGGAAUAAUUGUGCCCUUAGGUUUAAUACAAUGUGCCUUUGAUUAUCAAUGCCAUUCAUUUUUGUCCACCAAUGACACCCCCAACCCAGUCAUUUGUUGUUGGGUACACCGAACCGUAGGCGAUUACAAAGAUCCGCUUUAUAAUGGUGAUCACCUUGCACUUGUCUGAGCAUUGCCCAAAGAUCCUCCUGCAACCCCCCCAUAUAGUGGGUUCUGGGUGGAAAUUGGCUGCACAAAUGAAACGUUUUAUAUGCAGUUUGGACACGUGAUUUGAGUUAAGACCUCAGAGACCCAUUGCCAACAGGUAUAACUCACCAAGUCAAACCUAUACCUAUUUCCUUUAGUGCAAAAAGGGUCUUUUCUACGCCAUCCAUCUUGUCUUAACAAACUCAAGGGGUUACAUUUGCUUCAUUGUAUUACUCUAUAAAUGACACAUCUUACUAUUUUACCUCAGACUGUUGUAAUAUUCUUGUAAUUUAUUAGCCCAGGGCAUUUGGUAUAAACCAAAGUGCAUUCCUUUCUAUGUUUGUGGCUAGGAGGAAAAAAGCCAGAGUUUCUCAGUUUUGUUCUUUUUAGCUGAGAAAGAAGAGGCUUUCAAGCUAAUUUUAUCUGUCAAGGGCAGUAUCUAGAAAAAGCUUAUCUUCAGUCAAGAAAGAGAGGUAGAAUAUGAAAGCUUGUGGCACAGAUCCUUCUGAAAUGUUUGAUCGAGGCACCAUGCCUCUAAACGUCUGGUGCAAGACAUGAUGCAUGUAUAAUGUGCUGAAUAUUGAUGCCCCAAGAAUAUUCAGCAAGUCAAUAGUCAGCCCUGGCUGCAAUACGGCAGUUGUGUCAUUGGGGCAAACUGAAGCAAAUGGCUGAGCGUUACAUUUUGAAAGGAUGUACCUUUUUACUACUUUCUAUCAAAAUGUUAUCCCAGGAAGUUGAAUCUAGCUAUCCACUGUCAACUCUGGUCAGUUCGUUUUUUUUUCUUUUUUCUUUAAACGAAUCUUUAAAUAAGGAACAAAGUUGACAUUCAUUUAUAUCCAACCAUAGAAACGUACUGUACAUAUAUGAACUUUACUACGAAUUCAAUGUGGAUGUGUACAUAUGUAAAAUGUUUUCCCUUUUUGUCAAAUGCUGCUGAUAACACUACAUCAGUCAUGUAGUGGAUUUUAAUCUUGGCGGCCAGUUUUAUGAUACUGUAUGUAUUGUACAGCUGAUUUUUUUUUUCUAGUGAUCAUUCGUUAAAUUUUAUUGUUGUGGCCAGAAAUAAUUAAUAAUAAAAAAAGUUUUAAUGUUGAUCUUUACAAAACCUUUCAUUUUGUUGACGGUCACUUCAUGCGAAAGUUGUUUGUCUUGAACAGAUAAAAAGGGUUUAAACAUACAGCUCUGGCUGAAAGACAGAAACCUUAUCUUGUAGCACAUGAGUAUGUUUUUGUAAAGAAACAGAUUGGGAAAGGGAGUUUCUGACAAUGUCAGCAACCCUAAAAGUUGCUCGAGAGAUUUUCAGUGUUGGGUUGGACGACAAACCAGGGGAACUUUGGACACCAGAAGUACAGCUCUUGUUGGAAUAUUGUUGAAUGGGAUUAUAGGCUCAAUUUUUCAUGUUGGUCAGCAUUAUUAGCUUUUUAACACUGGAUACUUAGACACCAUUUCUCAGAUAUAAUAGACUGAUAUUUUCAAACCCACAUUGAGCCUGUGGAGAACCUCUUAUGAUGUUAAAUAUGCUGCUUUUUGAUAGAUAAAUGUUCUGUAAAAGAAUUAAAGGACAUUAUAUAACCUACUUAAAUUUAAUAUAUGGUAGAAGUGCUAGUUAAACAUGGGGCUUGAUUACCGUUGGUUUAUGAGAAACAAGUUGGCCCUAGAGCAAUGAGCAUUAUCAAAAGAAAACUAGUGAGUCACAGUCAGUGAGCAAAAACAUGAAGAGUGUCUCCUAUGAAACUUUUUCUCCGUCCUAGGCGUAACGGAUGAAAACUGAACUACAGUUUGCAUUGCUCAAGUAUUCUGUGUUUUUCAGGUUUAUCAUCAAUGAAAUGUUUGUAGUUUAUCCUAAUUAAUAUAUUUUGGCCUGUUCAUUUUCAUUGACUAGUCAGUUAUAUCUGGUGUUAUAUUUAUAAUCAAAUAGUGACUAAUAUAUUGUAAAUUCACUGCUCUGUAUGUGGAGCUCUCACAUGGCUUUCACUGAACCCUUAGUUUAAUUUCUGUUCUUAUCUCAAGCCUAGGGUAUUUAGGUUAUCUAAACGAACGUAAAUGCUCUGCUGAGUUACAAAAUGCUCGUUUAUCACAGGAACCACUUUUUACACUGGCGCUAAUUGUGCAUUUAAUGUUCAAUUACAACCGCAGUUGCAGAAAAUAUGCAACAGUAUUGCUAUGUUGUUUGUUAUCCAAGCCUAAGCUUACGUAAUUUAUGGGCUAUGUGUACACACUCUCUUAAUUCUUACCUUAAACCUGACAGCUGAUGUGUAUUAAGAGUUUGGCCACUUUAGCAGACGUUGUGGUCAUUUUAACUGCAGUCUUUCUGCAAAAAUGUAAUACAUUUAAUAUUAGACAGCUGUUCAACCUUCUGUCUGCUAACAACGGUAUUUAUUGUGUUUACUUUUAGAUGAAUCCUCUUCUUUAAAAAAGAAAAAAGAUGGUUAGGGGGAAAAAAAAACCCUGCAGGCAUUACAAUAUAUACUGUCAUGUAAAAAAGGUUGAUUUAAACCGUACCUUUCCUUGUUGCUGGGGUAGAUAAGGCCUUUUUACCUUUUAUGUGUUUUCUGAGUAAUAGAAAAAGGCUACUACACUGUAGUUGAGUAACAACUACUACAUUGAAACAAACCCAGUCUCUAUAGCAUUAUAGAUAAACGUGCUUUUAUAAGGAGUCUCACUCGCAGUCAGCACAGCUUGUUUACGUUAUAAAACGUAGUUGCGUGUUUAUUAUAUAGUAACAUGUAUGCUCAUGUUUUUUUGAACGCUACCCAUGAUACAAUGUUCUUCAUGAAUAAAAAAAAAUCGUAGCUGGUUAAAACAAACCUUGUUAGCAUGUUGCAAACGGCUAUGAAGUUCCCUGUUUCACACAGCCAAGUUAUUUACCCACUGAAUGACUUUUUACCAUGUAAAUUGUAUUUAUUACAGUCAAAAUCAACUCAUUACACGGGUAGAACCGAUCAAGCUUUUCAAAAUGCUGAUUGUAAUGUUCGUCACGUUUUGAAACCAAAGAAACUGUGAAGGUAUGUGUGGAAGGAUAAAUGCAGGUUACAGCUAAUAGCAGCUUUGUGCUGAUUUUUCUGCUGUAUUGGAAUUACCAUUAAUACAUUAAAGUAAGUAACGUAUAUUAAUACCCUAAAGUAAAUUAAAUGACCUUCAAUGUAAAUGUCCUUUUAAGUUGCAAAAAAAAGUGGGGAGCUUAGGAAACAAUUUGAUUGUUGAUCAUGGUAGAGAAAAUGAUGGUUUCGUUGAUUGAUUUAUUCUUCUAAAACCCUUUAAUCAUCACCAGUUACUGUAAACACUGACAUAUCUCUAAUAGUUGGUUGCUUUAUGUACAUUUUCACAACGGAGGAAAUGUGUGGAACAACAGUGACUUUGUCUUCAGCAUUAAGCAAACAGUUUAGAAAACCAAGGUAUGUAUAUAUUAGAGAUGUACUCAAACAGAAUUACAUUAAAUUGAAAUGAACACAUAAAAUGUUCUUAAUAGAUACAAGUACAGAUUUUUUUAAGAAACCUUGACUGGACCAGAAAAAAUCGCAUGGCAUCAGUUUGGGACCCCAGGACACAUCUAAAAAGUUGGGAGGUUUUUACUUUCAUGUGAGGGCGAGCGAACAGCCAGAUAUGAAGCUUGCGUGACAGAGAAAGAGGUGAACUCCUGUGGGAAGAAUGCUCAUGUGACAGGCCUGUGUGACCAGACAGUGCUGGAGAUGAGCCACUGAUGUCAUUGCGCAGGAAUGCAGAAGAACAUUACAGUGCAAGGGCCCCAUGGAGACAAAGAACAGAGAUAUUUCUCCAAACAAAAAGAAAUGUCAUUGCCUGAACCUGUCAAUUUAUUAUUACAGCUCUGGGUCUGAAUGUCUAUAAACUCUUUCAUUCAAUUUGUUAGUCUUUUCAUGCACAUGAACAUGUUAUAAUUCAGACUUUCUUGUAGUGGGAAUCACAACACAAAAAAGUAAUGCACAGCAUUUAAUAAAAGUAGAAAUGAUUGUUAUAUUUCA